rnacentral:misc_RNA from 1 species
UUUCCGUAGGUGAACCUGCGGAAGGAUCAUUCACAAUAGUGUUUAAUGGCACUUGAAUCCCAUUACCCACCUUGUGUGCAUUGUCGGGGAGGGGACCCUUCUUUCAGGGGGGGUUUCCCCUCCUUUUCAUUCAUACCUUUGUUCUCAGUAUCAGUCUACAUCAAUUGAGUAUAAGAAACUCUAAUACAACUUUCAACAACGGAUCUCUUGGCUCUC